GCUGGGGGGAUUAGUGGCGAACGGGUGAGUAACACGUGAGUAACCUGCCCUUGACUCUGGGAUAAGCCUGGGAAACUGGGUCUAAUACCGGAUACGACCAUCUGACGCAUGUCACGGUGGUGGAAAGCUUUUGCGGUUUUGGAUGGACUCGCGGCCUAUCAGCUUGUUGGUGGGGUAAUGGCCUACCAAGGCGACGACGGGUAGCCGGCCUGAGAGGGUGACCGGCCACACUGGGACUGAGACACGGCCCAGACUCCUACGGGAGGCAGCAGUGGGGAAUAUUGCACAAUGGGCGAAAGCCUGAUGCAGCGACGCCGCGUGAGGGAUGACGGCCUUCGGGUUGUAAACCUCUUUCAGUAGGGAAGAAGCGAAAGUGACGGUACCUGCAGAAGAAGCGCCGGCUAACUACGUGCCAGCAGCCGCGGUAAUACGUAGGGCGCAAGCGUUAUCCGGAAUUAUUGGGCGUAAAGAGCUCGUAGGCGGUUUGUCGCGUCUGCUGUGAAAGACCGGGGCUCAACUCCGGUUCUGCAGUGGGUACGGGCAGACUAGAGUGAUGUAGGGGAGACUGGAAUUCCUGGUGUAGCGGUGAAAUGCGCAGAUAUCAGGAGGAACACCGAUGGCGAAGGCAGGUCUCUGGGCAUUAACUGACGCUGAGGAGCGAAAGCAUGGGGAGCGAACAGGAUUAGAUACCCUGGUAGUCCAUGCCGUAAACGUUGGGCACUAGGUGUGGGGGACAUUCCACGUUUUCCGCGCCGUAGCUAACGCAUUAAGUGCCCCGCCUGGGGAGUACGGCCGCAAGGCUAAAACUCAAAGGAAUUGACGGGGGCCCGCACAAGCGGCGGAGCAUGCGGAUUAAUUCGAUGCAACGCGAAGAACCUUACCAAGGCUUGACAUGGACUAGUAACGCCUGGAGACAGGCGCCCCUCUUGAGGCUGGUUCACAGGUGGUGCAUGGUUGUCGUCAGCUCGUGUCGUGAGAUGUUGGGUUAAGUCCCGCAACGAGCGCAACCCUCGUUCUAUGUUGCCAGCGCGUUAUGGCGGGGACUCAUAGGAGACUGCCGGGGUCAACUCCGAAGGAAGGUGGGGGACGACGUCAAAUCAUCAUGCCCCUUAAUUGCUUGGGGCUUCACGCAUGCUACAA
rnacentral:rRNA from 1 species